UACGUAGGGUGCAAGCGUUAAUCGGAAUUACUGGGCGUAAAGCGUGCGCAGGCGGUUUUGUAAGUCUGACGUGAAAUCCCCGGGCUUAACCUGGGAAUUGCGUUGGAGACUGCAAGGCUGGAGUCUGGCAGAGGGGGGUAGAAUUCCACGUGUAGCAGUGAAAUGCGUAGAGAUGUGGAGGAGCACCGAUGGCGAAGGCAGCCCCCUGGGCCAACACUGACGCUCAUGCACGAAAGCGUGGGGAGCAAACAGG
rnacentral:rRNA from 1 species